rnacentral:misc_RNA from 1 species
GUUCAAUGCGCCGUCAGCAGCUUAUCAGAGAAUGUCCUAUCCUCUCUAACAUUGAACCUAAGCAAAUCAAAGUUUGGUUCCAGAAUCGAAGAUGCAGGGAGAAACAGAGGAAAGAGGCGUCAAGGCUUCAGUCUGUGAAUAGGAAGCUGACGGCAAUGAACAAGCUAUUAAUGGAAGAAAAUGAUAGACUACAGAAGCAAGUUUCUCAACUGGUGUAUGAAAAUGGCUACUUUCGCAGGCAAAGUCACAGUACUCCACUUGCUACGAAAGAUACCAGUUGUGAUUCAGUAGUGACUAGUGGUCAGCACCACUUGACAUCUCAGCAUCCG